GGAAAGGUCGCAUAGCGGUCUAGUGCGUUCGCUUGGAAAGCGAAUGUGGGGGAAACCCCACCGGGAGUUCAAAUCUCCCCCUUUCCG
rnacentral:tRNA from 1 species